rnacentral:rRNA from 1 species
CUGACACCGUAACUUCGGAAGAAGGUGUGCCUUUAGUAGGUGAAGUCGUACAGACGGAGCCCAAUGAGGCCGCAGAGAAUCGGUGGCUGCGACUGUUUAUUAAAAACACAGCACUCUGCAAAGACGAAAGUCGACGUAUAGGGUGUGACGCCUGCCCGGUGCUGGAAGAUUAAAUGAUGGGGUGCAAGCUCUUGACUGAAGUCCCAGUAAACGGCGGCCGUAACAAUAACGGUCCUAAGGUAGCGAAAUUCCUUGUCGGGUAAGUUCCGACCUGCACGAAUGGCGUAACGAUGGCCACACUGUCUCCUCCAGAGACUCAGCGAAGUUGAAAUGUUUGUGAUGAUGCAAUCUCCCCGCGGAAAGACGGAAAGACCCCAUGAACCUUUACUGUAGCUUUACAUUGGACUUUGAACAGAUCUGUGUAGGAUAGGUGGGAGGCUUUGAAGCGGUGCCGCUAGGUGUCGUGGAGCCAGCGUUGAAAUACCACCCUGGUGUGUUUGAGGUUCUAACCUUGUCCCGUUAUCCGGGAUGGGGACAGUGUAUGGUGGGCAGUUUGACUGGGGCGGUCUCCUCCCAAAGCGUAACGGAGGAGUUCGCAGGUACGCUAGGCACGGUCGGAAAUCGUGCUGAUAGUGCAUUGGCAUAAGCGUGCUUGACUGCGAGACUGACAAGUCGAGCAGGUAAAAGUAGGACAAAGUGAUCCGGUGGUUCUGUAUGGAAGGGCCAUCGCUCAACGGAUAAAAGGUACUCUGGGGAUAACAGGCUGAUACCGCCCAAGAGUUCAUAUCGACGGCGGUGUUUGGCACCUCGAUGUCGGCUCAUCUCAUCCUGGGGCUGUAGCCGGUCCCAAGGGUAUGGCUGUUCGCCAUUUAAAGAGGUACGUGAGCUGGGUUUAAAACGUCGUGAGACAGUUUGGUCCCUAUCUUCCGUGGGCGCUGCAAGAUUGAGAGAGCCUGCUCCUAGUACGAGAGGACCGGAGUGGACGCACCUCUGGUGUAUCGGUUGUCACGCCAGUGGCAUUGCCGAGUAGCUAAGUGCGGAAGAGAUAACCGCUGAAAGCAUCUAAGCGGGAAACUCGUCUCAAGAUGAGUCUUGCCGGGGCCUUGAGCCCCCUGAAGAGUCGUUCGAGACCAGGACGUUGAUAGGCCGGGUGUGGAAGCGCAGUAAUGCGUUAAGCUAACCGGUACUAAUUGCUCGUGAGGCUUGACCC